rnacentral:rRNA from 1 species
GAUGAACGCUGGCGGCGUGCUUAACACAUGCAAGUCGAACGAAGCACCUCUCCCGAAGAUUGACACAGCUUGCUGUAGAUUGAUUCAUUUGAGGUGACUGAGUGGCGGACGGGUGAGUAACGCGUGGGUAACCUGCCUCAUAGAGGGGGACAACAGUUGGAAACGACUGCUAAUACCGCAUAGUAAGAAGAAUUCGCAUGUUUUCUUCUUGAAAGAUUUAUCGCUAUGAGAUGGACCCGCGUCUGAUUAGCUAGUUGGUAAGGUAACGGCUUACCAAGGCGACGAUCAGUAGCCGGCUUGAGAGAGGGAACGGCCACAUUGGGACUGAGACACGGCCCAAACUCCUACGGGAGGCAGCAGUGGGGAAUAUUGCACAAUGGGGGAAACCCUGAUGCAGCGACGCCGCGUGAGUGAAGAAGUAUUUCGGUAUGUAAAGCUCUAUCAGCAGGGAAGAUAAUGACGGUACCUGACUAAGAAGCCCCGGCUAACUACGUG